rnacentral:lncRNA from 1 species
UGGAAGCAGCCUGUGCCAGUUCUCAUGUGUGUCUUUUAAACUGCACAGACUGAUCCUAAAGGUCGAAGGAAGGUGCGGGCCAGUGAGCGGCUUCCUGCUGCAACCAGCACCAGGCCGGGUGCGCGCUCUGCUGCAGUGGAGCGUGGCAAAGAAGUCUUGAAAGAAACAUGGAGAGACGUGAAAAAGGAAGAGAGAGUCUUGCAGCCAGCAGCGGAGGAAGCAAAACAGGAAUACAGUGAUUCUCCCUGGGAUUCUGAGACUGAUUCUGAAGGUGGAAGCAAAGUGUCGGCCGAUGUGCAGCUUCCUGCUGCAGACCAAAACAGAGUGGGUGUGAGCUCUGCUGCAGUGGAGCAUGGCAAAGGUAAUUUCAGACGGUCUACAUGGUUGUCUUUGUGCGCCUCUGUGGAGUGGAUCAGUUUUUCGGAAAAGCAAAGUGAAAGAAGCACUCACAGCAGCAACACUCUUACCUUAUUUUUUAAUCUCUAUUAUCAGCUGCAAGAGCAGAACAGAAGGAACAUUUUAUGUCCUCUUCUGAGAAUAAGGUACUUCCUGAGCUCUUACACUACCCUUGGCAGAAGUCACAUUUCUUUGUGCUCUCUGCUCAAAGGCAGUACUGUUGAGGAUUCUUUUCCCAGCUGUUUAUCUUUUUUCUUGUUUGCUUAGCUUCCUACAUUACAGAGAGAAGAUCUUCAGCUAAAGGUUGAUUCUUCAACUCAAACGGAUUCUGAGCAGGACAAACAGGUGACUCUUAGAGAUAGAUGCAAAUAUCCCUAAAUUGAACCUAUCAGUGUAAACACAUGUACUCUUGCUGGUGAGUACAUUUUGAAAUAGUGCUGAGAGGAAGUAAUUAAUCUGGACAUGAGCUGUAUUUUGGACCUAAUUUCAUAUGUAUUUGAAGCAGAAGAGCUGCAAAAA